rnacentral:tRNA from 1 species
GCCUUCGUGGUGUUAUGGUCUAGCACAUUCGGCGCGUAUUUGAGAGGUCCGAGGUUCGAAUCCCGGCGAGGGCA